CAGCAGCCGCGGUAAUACAGAGGGUGCGAGCGUUAAUCGGAUUUACUGGGCGUAAAGCGUGCGUAGGCGGCUUCUUAAGUCGGAUGUGAAAUCCCUGAGCUUAACUUAGGAAUUGCAUUCGAUACUGGGAAGCUAGAGUAUGGGAGAGGAUGGUAGAAUUCCAGGUGUAGCGGUGAAAUGCGUAGAGAUCUGGAGGAAUACCGAUGGCGAAGGCAGCCAUCUGGCCUAAUACUGACGCUGAGGUACGAAAGCAUGGGGAGCAAACAGGACUAGAUACCCGUGUAGUCCCUGUCUCUUAUAA
rnacentral:rRNA from 1 species